rnacentral:rRNA from 1 species
UUUUCUGAGAGUUUGAUCCUGGCUCAGGAUUAACGCUGGCGGCAUGCCUAAUACAUGCAAGUCGAUCGGAUGUAGCAAUACAUUAUAUGCGAA